CGAAAUCUAUUUAGGUAGAGCGUCAUGUAUUACUUCUGGGGGUAGAGCACUGUUAUGGCUAGGGGGUCAUGGCGACUUACCAAACCAUUGCAAACUCCGAAUACCGACGAGUACAGCUUGGGAGACAGUGCACCGGGUGCUAACGUCCGGACACGAGAGGGAAACAACCCAGACCGCCAGCUAAGGUCCCAAAUUAUAGCUAA
rnacentral:rRNA from 1 species